UACGGAGGGGGCUAGCGUUGUUCGGAAUUACUGGGCGUAAAGCGCGCGUAGGCGGUUCUGCAAGUCGGGGGUGAAAUCCCGAGGCUCAACCUCGGAACUGCCUUCGAUACUGCGGGUCUCGAGUCCGGGAGAGGUGAGUGGAAUUCCUAGUGUAGAGGUGAAAUUCGCAGAUAUCAGGAGGAACACCCGUGGCGAAGGCGGCUCUCUGGGACGGUACUGACGCUGAGACGCGAAAGCGUGGGGAGCGAACAGG
rnacentral:rRNA from 1 species